UAUGUUGUAGAUGAUGCUGAUUAAUUGUCCCCAGUGAUUUGUCUUUCUCCCAUAAGGCAAACAACCACCAACACCAACCAUGGCUGUUGGCAUCUUCCACGGUUUAUCUCUGUGCUAUGGAAAUGACAUUUUCCAGCGAUAAGCUGCUCCUUUAGCCUGGUUCACGGGAAUACAAAUCUCUGUGAGUUGUUCAUCUAAAGAUAUGUGAUACCACACUGCCUUCUAAACAUUUGUGUUUAUACCCAGUGGGCACAUGCUAUAUCCAGCCUUAAUCAGGAAGCCUCCCUUUGCAAUGAACUAUGCUAAAUGCAGACUCAUGGCUGUUUGAGAAGGUGAUGGUUGAGUGCUUGUCUCUAAAUAGUACACCUAUACCACCCUCUCUAAGGCUCAGGGACUAUCGCCGAGGAUGGAGCUGAAAGAAUGUAAGAGCCAGAAGCCAGGGAGGAGGACUGAGAAAACCCGUGUUCUGGGCAUUACACAGCCAUCGUAGACAUGAUCUCACAGCUGAAGACUGGGCCUGCGAUCAGUCAAGCAUGAAUCACAGAGAGACUGAUGUGACCACACACAUCCUCACCCCCACCCCCCCCCCCACUGAAUUAUUGGCUACUGAUGGAUUCUGGAGGAAAAACAUCUAGUUUCUUCAUUUGUGUAUUCACAGGUUUCUGAAAGAAAGCUGGAGCCAACAUUCUGAAUUGAAGUAGUCAGUGAAGCAUUAAGUUGGGGAGGAGAAUGAAGCCAAUCCGGAUACACUAAUUGGCAAAGAGGAUCGGUUACAAUGUGAAAAAGGAAGAGACUGGAAGGGGAUUCCAGCAAAGGAAGACACAUGAGCCUGAGAUGCUGUGCACUUCCUCAAAGGGUGUCUUCUCUACUCAAGGAUAUUGUGUGACAUAGGAUGGAUGGGAUAAUACAGAAGCUGGACAUGGACUUUGCUCCAAAGAAGAAGGAAAAUGGUUGUAGAUUCCUUUCCAAUGGCCAUUGUACCCACAGAUAAGUUUAGUCUUUACCCCUCAUCAAGGAAACCUCCUUGCAACAGAUAGAGUCUACUAUAGAAAACCACAACCAAUAAAAAUGCACUGUUGAGG